rnacentral:tRNA from 1 species
GGCUGGGUGGCUCAGUCGGUUGAGCAUCUGACUUCAGCUCAGGCUUUGCGGUGGGUUCGCACCCUGUCUCUGUCU